AGUGUCCUGCUACCCUGGCAUCCUCCGAUGUGCUGCUGUGCUGAAUUACUGGCAGGGUGUGGUGGUGGUGGUGAUGUUGCUGUUCCCACUGCAUCCUCGACCUCGACGCCGGCGGGACGGUGCCGCGGACGCAACCCCGGCGUCGGCCUCUUCCUCUACUCGUAUGCACUACUGUUUGCUAUAUAUUGAUGAUGCCCCUAUUUGGAUGAUUCCUUCAUCCAGGCAUAUAUUUUACUAUAAGAUGUACCUUUGAUAAGAACGGAUACUUGUGCUUUAUUUGUUGCCUAGCCAGUGAUGCAUAAGUUGAGGCACAGAUGGAAAUAAGAACAGAUACUAUGGUGCCUAAAAUUCUCUAUGAUGAAUCUUGCAUAGCACUUAUGUGCGGAUCUGAGAGAAUCACUUCUCAUGACUUAAACUGAUGGUUUAUAGUUUGAUCUUUGUCUAGUUCAUUGCUUGCAAAUACUAACCAUAUGCUAUCUACUAGGAUUUAAUACUUUCUGUGGUGCCUCCUAGGAGUGUGCACAGGGAUGUUUAUUACUUAGUAAGAUUGGUGUUGUUGGUAGUUAUGCAGGGUGAUUUGUUAGACUUGGAUCAUAACUAUGAUCAGAUGAUGUUGAAAAUCAUCACAAACAACUCAUGUUUGAUAAACUAUUUGAUCUGGAUGAUAUGAUGCCUUUUUGGGAAUAAAUCCAAGUACUAGGCUCAAUGAGUUUGGUAUACCUAUUUCCCUCUGCUAGGUUUAACUUUGUUGGUUGAUGGUGAUCUUGUCAUGCUUCUGGAUUGUUGAAUCAUCACCCCCUCGACUUGAGCCUGCUCCUCCUGAUCUUGAUACUUGCUCUGAUUUGAAUUGGUGAUACUACUAUUUUCCUGAUUCAUUUCAUGAUGGUUGCUGGAGGUUUGGAUGGAGAAAAGUUGAUGUUCUUGGGCUACCCUUAUCCUGUUGAUGGACGUGAUCAGAGAGUGUGGUUCAUAGGCAGCUACAAGUAACAUGCCUUUAUACCCGGCCCCCUUGCUGUCUUUGGUCGACAGCAAGACAUGCAUGCAAUGUGUAAGCUGUGUGCUUGCAUGGCUGCUGGAUAUGACUGUGUGCAUCUCCCCUUAUGGAUCAGCUCGGCAGAUGAAAAUAUCUGCCUUCUCCAUCUCUCUUUAUUUUUGACAUAACCACUUUGCUUUACUUUUCUUUUUUCUUUGUUUGUUUUGCAGGUGCACAUUUGAACAAGAGAUGAUGAUCUUCAAGUUUAGUUUAGAAUUUGAUUUUCUUUUCUUAUACUAGUAAUUGUAACUAUAUUCUUAUUCUUUAUUAUUUUUGUAAAGACUUUGUAUUAUUGUGUUGAUAUUAAUAAAGAAAUGUUUUCCUUUAA